CUAGGCCGUUUACUCCGUUAAUAAACCAGGCCUCAGAGGGAACUAAAACGUCCACUUCCCCGUGCCAAUCAGGCGCCGCGCGUAAGGGGCAGGACAAGCUCUCCGGGUUUCGAUUCUCGAAAUCUCGGGCGCCGCGGGGAACUCCGGGCGAGCCCACGGAACGCGGGGGCGGGGCCGAGCGUGAGUCCGUCUCCCGCGCACGGGCGGCUCGGGGCGGCCGGGGGCGCGGCGCGCGUCCCCGACCGGACGCUCCGGCGCGUUAGGCGGCCCGGCGGGCGCGCGGCCGGUGGCCAAGAGCGAGACGGGCCCGGAGCGCGGCGCAGGAAACGCGCGGCCGCCGGGUCGCGCGAAGGGCCGCUGCGCGGGGCCGGACGCUCGGCGGCGCGCUCUCUCGCCGACAAGUGAGGAGGCGAAGCGAGGUCGUCGUCGGUCGCUCAGGGCUUGUUGAGAAAGUCACCAGUCACAGGUGUGUACAUGUGACACCGGCACCUUGAACUCUCUGGAGCAGUGGAAACUCCUGCAGGCUCUGUCCACUGAAGAGGCCCAGAAGCAGUUACCCAGAGGUAAUGAACAUACUAGUGCCAAGACCUUGGUUUCAAAGUACUGUUCAUCACUGAAAGGAAGGAAUGUUCCCUGGAGAAAUGGCUGAUUCCAGAUCAGAAACAGAGAAUUGUACAAGAACCAACUUACAAUAAUGGUAUUACAGUUAGUCAACCACAUAAAAACCCACCACAGGAAGCGAAUUGAAAAGUAGCCACAACAAGUAAACCAAAGAAGAAAGCAAACUGAAACCAUUCUUGCAUAUGGACAAGAACUUUCCCUUUUUAAUCCUUUUUUCUCACGUAAUAAUUAGCACAAGGCUUUUUAUAUGACAGGGGCUUGUCAUAGUUUAAGGUCCAGCCAGGUAACUGCGGGUUACUAAGACUGACUCAGAAAUAGGGCGAUGUGGGGAUAAAGUUCCCUGAACAUGGAACAAGACAGAAAAGCACUUGAUAAUAAGGCUAGAAUUUCUAAUUGGGAAUAGAGCUCCCAGUGAUAGAUGCUACAUCCCAAGGUGUGGGCCGACAGUGGGGAUGGUAAAUACCUGAUGUCAUUCUGCCCCUCCUUUUUCAACACCCACUGCAGACAUCUUUUUUUUUUUUUUUUGGCCACGUCACGCGGCUUGUGGGAUCUUAGUUCCCCGACCAGGGAUUGAACCGGGGCCCUUGGCAGUGAAAGCAUGGAGUCCUAACCACUGGACUGCCAGGGAAUUUACCUAGACAUCAAUGUUUCAUCACCAUAUUUUUCCCUAUUGGGUUGGAAUGGGUUGGAACUUUGUCUCAACCAGUGCUCAAAGUCACCACCAACAAUCAAUUGAAAAUACAUUUCACAGGAAUAAGAACUACAGUUUUUAAAUUCUUGUUUCAAAUGAAGGCUAGAAUUGCAA